GGCAGGAGACGCCCACACGGUGUAAUCUAUGGGUGACCGCGGUCCGAUCCGACCAUUCUCCCGGGUGAGUGUCCCCGCGGGGGAGGGGAGAUAUCUUCCUGUAUUUUCUGGCAUCACCACCUGAAAGCGCACUUCUCUCAUAAGUCCUCAGACUGGAUGGUUCCUCUGGGGCCUGGUCUGCUGAUCCGCCCCUCGUGACCCCCAGUCUCCCUGCAUCUAAUUGGGGAGCCAGUGCUCGGCUGUGUCAAGACCGGAUUGAUUACAACCACACUCCUCAGCAUUCCCAACAUCGCAAAACAUCCACUGGGAGCAUCACCACAAACUCAGAACAUGGCCGACUGUGGACAACAGUAAAAGAAAACCCUCUGAACUACAGAACUUCCUGCCCAACAAACAGGUAAGAAAAACACACACAUGCUGCCAAAACAUAUAACACAUGUAUAUUGCAAAAAAACUAAACUUACAAAGA